GAGAAGCUACUCUAUUCCCGAAAUAUUCAGGAGUUGCAAGCCCUCUUCUUUUGUUCUGGCUCUCCUCAAAAGGCUCUACUGAUCCAUGAUUUUUAGGCAAGAUGUUAUAACUAUCAGAUACAGGAAUUUAGGAACUCUCUGAGGAAGGAAGAACUGCUGCUUGUAUUUUGACAUGGUGAGCUGAGACUUGCAGGAGAGGCUGACCUGACAAUUCUGAUAAUGACUCCAAUGCUCCCAGGAGCAACUGCUGCUGACUGCGACUGCCUCUGCAAUUCAGCUGGAACCUGGACAGCUGUAACAUCUGAUUUGUUUUCAAGGCCUCAUGACUGGACCCCAGAAAAAGAGACUACUAUGUGCCAACAUUUAAAAUAAUCCACUGUCACAGGCAGACAACUGUGGCAGUCUUUAAAUGCUGCUAUCCUACCCCAUUUAAAAUGCUUGCACAGGAAAGAGAAGCAGUUUUUAAAAUCAUAAUACAGUCUAGAAAACAUAAUAAGGAUGCUUUGCUUCAAUUAUGUUUCAAAUAACAUUGUAAAGCCAAUUUAUAAGAAAAAUGCUGGCUUGUCAAUUUCCCUUUUUGGACUGAGAAAAAGCAGAAAAUCCUUCAGUCACUUUGGACCUAAACUGGCAAAAGCUCUGCUUACCCACUCUGCCUUUUAGACAGAACAGUUCCAAGAAAUUUUAUGGAACUGCUUACAGGCUGUAAAGAUUAUCAUGUGCAAAGGUUCUUGCAGGAUCAGAGUCCAGCAUUAUACUUUCAUGCUUGAUGUCAUCAAAACUGAGCCUCCUCUUUAAUGAAAAUUUUUCUAUAUAGAGUAGAUAAACAUAAAUUUAAAAUAAUGCAUCUCAAUAAACAAAGAGUCUUAAUUUUAAGGAAAUAGAAUUUAGAAUACCACAAAAGACAGUUGUUAAACUGCAUCAAAAGCAUUCUUACACCUUGAUAAGACAUAAAGAAUUUGCUAUGAUCAGAGCCUUGAAUUUAACACAGAAGUACUGUUUCUGUACUAACUCCAAGGAAAAGGGUUUCUGAUUGAAUUGUGCUACCAUUCCCCCUGAUUCCUCUCUAUUCUUCUCUUCCUGAGUGCAUUCAGUUCCCCUGAAACUACUUUAAGAAAUGUCUGUGUCUCAUACUAACUUGACCGCCCACAAAAGAAAAAUCUCCACUGCAUUUAACUCCCAAAAAGUUAAGACAGAAGUAAUAAACAUGAAUUAGUGUGCAGUUAUAAAGGACGUGUGAAACAGUGCACCAGUUUUACUCAACCUGAAUAUUAAUCCAGUAGUGCUGAUCUACAUACCCUU